rnacentral:rRNA from 1 species
CCCUUAGAUGUUCUGGGCCGCACGCGCGCUACACUGACGAUGGCAACGAGUUUUUCCUUCGCCGAAAGGUGUGGGUAAUCUUUUGAAACAUCGUCGUGCUGGGGAUAGAUCAUUGCAAUUUUUGAUCUUGAACGAGGAAUUCCUAGUAAGCGCGAGUCAUCAGCUCGCGUUGAUUACGUCCCUGCCCUUUGUACACACCGCCCGUCGCUACUACCGAUUGAAUGGUUUAGUGAGGACUCCUGAUUGGCGCCGUCGCCCCGGCAACGGAGCAGCGGACUGCCGAAAAGUUGUUCAAACUUGAUCAUUUAGAGGAAGUAAAAGUCGUAACA